GAAAUGCGAUAAUUAAUGUGAAUUGCAGAAUUCAGUGAAUCAUCGAGUCUUUGAACGCACAUUGCGCCCCCUGGUAUUCCGGGGGGCAUGCCUGUCCGAGCGUCAUUGCUGCCCUCAAGCACGGCUUGUGUGUUGGGCUUCCGUCCCUGGCAACGGGGACGGGCCCAAAAGGCAGUGGCGGCACCAUGUCUGGUCCUCGAGCGUAUGGGGCUUUGUCACCCGCUCCCGUAGGUCCAGCUGGCAGCUAGCCUCGCAACCAAUCUUUUUAACCAGGUUAACCUCGGAUCAGGUAGGGAUACCCGCUGAACUUAAGC
rnacentral:misc_RNA from 1 species